AUGGGGCUGCCGCUGCCGCGUCGCUGCUGCAACUGCGGAGAUCCCGUGACCAUGCCCUACCUUGGCGGCCACGGAAGGGCGGCAGCGGCGGUGGGCGGAGAGCAGCGCCCUUCCUGGGCCUCUCAUCUCGCCGCCGCGGACUUCUCCAAGCCGUGCUCCAGGGACCGCGUCUGCGACACGUGCGGCGGCGCCGCCUUCUGCGCCCACUGCUGCGAGGAGCACCACCGCGGCCACGUCACCUGCCCCGCCCCCACCAAGGACGACGCCACCGAUCACCGGAGGGAUUCCUUCUGCAUCGGCUGCCGCGUCGCGUUCUGCUCCGAGCUGUGCGCGCACCACGGCGUGGGCCACGAGGUCAUCCCCGUCGACGAGUACGAAGGAUGGCAAUGCGCGCGAUGCACUGGGUCGGAGCGGUGGUUCCCGGUCUUCGCGGGCGUCCAGACCUUCCAAGACAACGAGGGCAAUCUGCUGGUGCCCCUGCACCGGAAGCCGGCUGCAGUUCCAAAGCCCGUCGAGGACGGACCGUGCCCUCCUCCGUGGAUGUUUGAGCUCGUCACCGCUGACUUCGCCAAGACGUGCGCCCGGGACCGGGUGUGCAACACCUGCGUGGGCGCCGCCUUCUGUGGGCAUUGCUGCGGGGAACACCACUCAGGCCACGACACCACCGCCUCCAUCCCGGAGGAGAAGGACGGCCCGGAGGCGACCGUGGUGCACCGGAGAGACUCGUUCUGCACGGGCUGCCGCGUGGCCUUCUGCUCCGACCUGUGCGCGCACCACGCAAGCGGCGUGGGUCACGAGGUCAUCGCCGUCAACAAGUUCGUCGAGUGGCACUGCGUGCGAUGCACCGGUUCGGAGUGGUGGUUCCCCGCAUUGCACUACAUGCUCAUGCUGGCUUUCGUGGACGAGCAUGGCAACCUGUUCGUGCCUUUCCAGUGGAACGGGGAGGUUGAGGACGGCGAGGAGUUGCCUUGGUGGAUGACUCACCUCGGGACAGCAGACUUCUCCAAGACAUGCACCAGGGACCGCGUCUGCAACACCUGCGGCGGCGCCGGCUUCUGCGAGCAUUGCUGCGGGGAGCACCACCGAGGCCACGAGACCAGCGCCGCCGCCACGGACGAGACGGAGGGUUCGGUGGCACCCGCGGGGUACCGGAGGGACUCGUUUUGCAUCGGUUGCGGCCUCGCCUUCUGCUCCGAGCUGUGUGCGCACCACGCGGGUGGCGACGGCCACGAGGUCAUCCCCGUCGACGUCUACGGCGACCGGCACUUCCUGCGAUGCACCGGGUCAGAGCCGUGGUUCGCCUCCGCCUUCGGCGACAUCGAGACUUACGAGGACAAGGACGGCAACCUGAUGGUGCCCGGGGAACGAAAGCGCUCCAUGAUCCCGGAGUCGGGCCUGAGGUACGCCACUCGCCACUGCGGCGGAACCACCGUGCCGCCGGCCGCGGCGAACCCGUUCGACUUCUAG
rnacentral:rRNA from 1 species